UCUUUCUUCGAUCUUUCUUUCGGCAAUACAUUUGUCUCCGUCUGAAUGAAGAUUGAAAACAACAUCCAGAUAAAGAUUUUUUUUUCGAAUAUAGAAAAGUGAUUUACGCUUCCGGAACGCUACAAGAUCAAAUGUUGUCAUCAGUUAUCAGGCAUCUGACGAUAGUCAAUGUAAUAUAAUGUAACUCAUAACUACUUGUUCUCAAAAUUUGAAGUCACUCUGGUUUUGUGCGUCAGUGUGUUGUGUUUAAAAUUUACAACGUGUUUGACCAAAAAUUCAUUCGUCCACGUUAUAUAUAGCUGCCAGAAUUUCAAGUUCACGUGGAUUCCUUAACUGAAACACCACGAUCUACAAUCAAUACUUAUCUCCCUUCACUUUACAUAAACAGAAUGACAACUAACAAUAAGUGCAAAGUGUGCUCAAAUUCUUACCUUAAAUUUGUUAAUGAAUUAUCGACAGAAGAGAAAAUGAGAGCAUUUUUGAUUAGUCAUGGAGCGAUUGCCACAGAAAUACGACGUGUUACUUGUAAUGAACCGGCCAAGUUUUGUGGAGACGAAUGGAGAUAGAAGAAGCAUAGAAGAAGAAAUAAAGAAGGCAUACUCAUUGAAUGUAAUUUCAAAAAAACCUUUCGGGAUAAAUCGGCGUUUGAACAUGCAAAGAACGGAUUAACAAAUACUACGAAAAUUAUUGCGUUAAGGGUCCAAAGAUACUGUUUUACGCUGGCAAAAUAUUAUUAAUGAAGUUGUUCUUCACUGGGCCAAUAAUAAUUAUCAUGGUUCUGUCGGGGGCGAGGGAAGAGAACCACUUUUGGAAAUUAUAAGACGGAAAAUUCGAUUUUUACCUGGCACAACGAUAAUGUUCCACCGUUCAAGUGAAUUUGAUGGCCUAAGACACGAAUUUGAGCAUCUGACUUUCGAUCGCUUCACAAAUUUCGUCGGCCGAGAUACUCGCACACACACGCAGAAUCUCAAUCGUAUGUGGGGAGAGGUGAACAAAUACAUACCAUCAAAUGGCCGAAAAGAAAAUAAAUUUCCUCAUUAUUUAGCUACUUUUCUGUUUGCUAGAAGAUUUCCAAAGAACAAGGAUAGGA